UACAGAGGUCCCAAGCGUUAUCCGGAUUUACUGGGCGUAAAGCGCGUGUAGGUGGUUUGUUAAGUUGGGUGUUAAAUCUCUCGGCUCAACUGAGAGAUGUCGCUCAAAACUAGCAGACUGGAGGACGGUAGAGGAAGGUAGAAUUCCGGGUGUAGUGGUGAAAUGCGUAGAUAUCCGGAGGAAUACCAGUGGCGAAGGCGGCCUUCUGGACCGUUCCUGACACUCAGACGCGAAAGCUAGGGGAGCAAAC
rnacentral:rRNA from 1 species